GAUGAACGCUGGCGGCGUGCCUAAUACAUGCAAGUCGAGCGAACGGACGAGAAGCUUGCUUUUCUGAUGUUAGCGGCGGACGGGUGAGUAACACGUGGAUAACCUACCUAUAAGACUGGGAUAACUUCGGGAAACCGGAGCUAAUACCGGAUAAUAUUUUGAACCGCAUGGUUCAAAAGUGAAAGACGGUCUUGCUGUCACUUAUAGAUGGAUCCGCGCUGCAUUAGCUAGUUGGUAAGGUAACGGCUUACCAAGGCAACGAUGCAUAGCCGACCUGAGAGGGUGAUCGGCCACACUGGAACUGAGACAUGGUCCAGACUCCUACGGGAGGCAGCAGUAGGGAAUCUUCCGCAAUGGGCGAAAGCCUGACGGAGCAACGCCGCGUGAGUGAUGAAGGUCUUCGGAUCGUAAAACUCUGUUAUUAGGGAAGAACAUAUGUGUAAGUAACUGUGCACAUCUUGACGGUACCUAAUCAGAAAGCCACGGCUAACUACGUG
rnacentral:rRNA from 1 species